GAUGUGGAAUCUUUUUGUAAGUGUUAAAUUCUUAAUUUAGUUGAGGGAAAUUAAGGUUUCUCCCAUAUUA
rnacentral:tRNA from 1 species